rnacentral:rRNA from 1 species
UACAGAGGUCCCAAGCGGUGUGCGGAUUCAUUGGGCGUAAAGGGUGCGUAGGUGGCGGGGUAAGUCGGAUGUGAAAUCUCGGGGCUCAACCUCGAAACUGCAUUCGAUACUGCCUUGCUAGAGUACUGGAGAGGAGAUCGGAAUUUACGGUGUAGCAGUGAAAUGCGUAGUUAUCGUAAGGAAGCCCAGUGGCGAAGGCGGAUCUCUGGACAGUUACUGACACUGAGGCACGAAGGCCAGGGGAGCAGACGGG